UACGGGGGGGGCAAGCGUUGUUCGGAAUUACUGGGCGUAAAGGGCUCGUAGGUGGCCAACUAAGUCGGACGUGAAAUCCCUCGGCUUAACCGGGGAACUGCGUCCGAUACUGGAUGGCUUGAGUUUGGGAGAGGGACGCGGAAUUCCAGGUGUAGCGGUGAAAUGCGUAGAUAUCUGGAGGAACACCGGUGGCGAAGGCGGCGUCCUGGACCAACACUGACACUGAGGAGCGAAAGCCAGGGGAGCAAACGGG
rnacentral:rRNA from 1 species